rnacentral:rRNA from 1 species
CCUACGGGUGGCAGCAGUGAGGAAUAUUGGUCAAUGGACGAGAGUCUGAACCAGCCAAGUCGCGUGAAGGAUGACUGCCCUCUGGGUUGUAAACUUCUUUUAUAUGGGAAUAAAACGUUCCACGUGUGGGAUUUUGUAUGUCUCAUAUGAUUCCGGAUCGGCUAACUCCGUGCCAGCAGCCGCGGUAAUACGGAGGUUCCGAGCGUUAGCCGGAUUUAUUGGGUUUAAAGGGAGCGUAGGAGGAUUGUUAAGUCAGUUGUGAAAGUUUGCGGCUCAACCGUAAAAUUGCAGUUGAAACUGGCAGUCUUGAGUACAGUAGAGGUGGGCGGAAUGCGUGGUGUAGCGGUGAAAUGCGUAGAUAUCACGAAGAACACCGAUUGCGAAGGCAGUUCACUGGACUGCAACUGACACUGAGGCUCGAAAGUGUGGGGAGCAAACAGGAUUAGAUACCCCUGUAGUC